rnacentral:rRNA from 1 species
GUGCAGCAGUCGCGAAUACUCCGCAAUGCACGAAAGUGUGACGGGGUCAACCCGAGUGCCAACUCAAAAGUUGGCUUUUCACCGGUGUAAGCAGCCGGUGGAAUAAGGGGAGGGCAAGGCUGGUGCCAGCCGCCGCGGUAAACCAGCUCCUCGAGUAGUCAAGACGUUUAUUGGGCCUAAAGCGUCCGUAGCCGGUCCAGUAAGUCUCUGGUCAAAUCUAACGGCUCAACCGUUAGACCGCUAGAGAUACUGCUGGACUCGGAGGCGGGAGAGGCCGAGGGUACUCUCAGGGUAGGGGUGAAAAUCCGAUAAUCCUGAGGGGACCACCAGUGGCGAAGGCGCUCGGCUGGAACGCGCUCGACGGUGAGGGACGAAAGCCAGGGGAGCGAACCGGAUUAGAUACCCCUGUAGU